GCGGGACUGCCCGGUACGAGCCAUUUGAACAUCCCUGAGGCUAUAAGCAAUUCCUAGGGAGCUGUCCCUGCCUUGGUUUACGGGCCACUGCAUUCUUCGGAAUGGAACCCGGGGACUAGGGUAUACGGCGCCCACCUGACGUUUAGGCGUCAGAGGAUUUCUCGGGCAAACGACCCAUGGUGGUUCCGUC
rnacentral:other from 1 species